rnacentral:rRNA from 1 species
CUACGUAGGGUGCAAGCGUUAAUCGGAAUUACUGGGCGUAAAGCGUGCGCAGGCGGUUUGGCAAGAAGGAUGUGAAAUCCCGAGGCUUAACCUCGGAACUGCAUUCUUAACUGCCAGGCUAGAGUAUGUCAGAGGGGGGUAGAAUUCCGCGUGUAGCAGUGAAAUGCGUAGAGAUGCGGAGGAAUACCGAUGGCGAAGGCAGCCCCCUGGGAUAAUACUGACGCUCAUGCACGAAAGCGUGGGGAGCAAACAGGAUUAGAUACCCUGGUAGUCCACGCCCUAAACGAUGUCAACUAGCUGUUGGGGCCUUCGGGCCUUAGUAGCGCAGCUAACGCGUGAAGUUGACCGCCUGGGGAGUACGGUCGCAAGAUUAAA